rnacentral:rRNA from 1 species
ACCCUACGGGACGCAGCAGUGGGGGAUAUUGCACAAUGGGGGAAACCCUGAUGCAGCGACGCCGCUUGUGGGAAGACGGUCCUCUGGAUUGUAAACCACUGUCCCCAGGGACGAAAAUGACGGUACCUGGGGAGGAAGCUCCGGCUAACUACGUGCCAGCAGCCGCGGUAAUACGUAGGGAGCGAGCGUUGUCCGGAAUUACUGGGUGUAAAGGGCGCGUAGGCGGUAAUAUAAGUCAGAUGUGAAAGGUGGGGGCUCAACCCCUAGAGUGCAACUGAUACUGUAUAACUUGAGUGUGAGAGAGG